AGGUGAAGAAGAGGAGGUUUUGGAACCAAUGAAGAAAAGAAAGUUUGUUUCGCGUGGACCAACACAGAUGCAUGCAUUGAGGUUGGAUAAGACAACUACAAAAAGUGAAGUUCCCUUCAACAUUAAAGAACAAACGAUCGGUGAACCUUCCGUGCAGCUGGCCAUUUGUCUAGGUGUGUUAGUCCGGAGAAAUAUUCCAUUAACGCACAAGGAUUGGAGACUUGUUCCUUAUCAGGCCAAGGCCAAUAUAUGGAAGAUAAUCGAGCAACGGUUCAUUGUGCCUGAACAUUACCAAGACUAAUAUUUUGGCAAAAUGGGAACAUAUCUCAAAGAAGCUCGAUCUAGGAAAGCCGGUUUGGUACUACAUGCUUUUGAUCAUCUACAAGAGGAAGAGAGAAAGAAAAGGCUUGCAAAGAUAAUGCCCACGAGCAUGACUGUCAGUGAGUGGGAAGAGUUUGUGAAACGUGUAAACUCGGCUGAAUUCAGAGUCAAUAGACUCAAAGUGCAAGAAAUUCGGUCGAAGCAUACCACUCCUCACACGAUUAGUCGUCAAGGUUAUGCCCGACUAGAGGUGCAGAUGCAAAAAGAGAUUAAAACAACUGAACAAAUCGAUAGAGCUGAUUUAUGGAAAAAGGGCCACCAAUAGCAUGACGGAAAUGAGCCAAAUCCGGUUGUUCUACAGGAUUUUAAAAAAAUUGAAGAAGCCCAAGGAAAUCAUAGUUCUGAUAAUGGUGGAUCGUCCGUGAUAGACGAUAUUCUUACAAAGGCUCUUGGUGAAGAUAAAGGGGUAAGACUUAAAGGCAUGGGGUUUGGAGUGACGCGUAAAAAUAUUGCAUCCAAUACCCACUACAAGUUGGUCAUUAAAGAGUGUCAGGAAACCUGUAGAGGAAUGAAUGAUCGGCUCGUGAUGUUGGAGCAAAGGAGCUCGAAAUGUGUCUGCGUUGAAGUCUCACACUCACACAGGGACAGUCCAGUUGCAAGCAACAACCAGGAUAGUACUAGCAGAGUUGUUCCAUGCAAUUAAAAAGCCUCAAAUACUCCCACUACCACUCCUGUCAGCAGAGCAAAUGAGGUGCAAGUGCCUGAGAAAUUUAAAGCUUGCAAGUUACUAAGUUGGUACAAGGAUGACGAGGUUGUGGCUGAUGCGGAAAUUAGUGAAACUGAUCCAGUGCAGCAGAUACAUGGGAUGCCAAUAGGUUUCAGAGCCUAUACUGUGUGUGUGUGUUGACUGCUCAUGUGAUGACUGUUCAUGUCUACAAGACGACUUCAGAGUUCAAGUAUGUUGGUGAUGUUGUUGGAAGUAUUAUCUCUUGGCCCAAGGAUCGAAUAGUGUUUUCAUAGAUAUCUUACCUUCUUAUUAUUUUUGGAGUGUGUUAAUUAAACUGCUUUUGGUAACAAACAUCUAUAUCCCUGCCAUUUUUUGAAUGUGUGUUUAACUGGCAGGUCAACAUUAAAACAGUUCAGGUGAAUGUGUUACAUUGUUCUGGUAAAUGUGAAUUACUUUCGGCAA